AUGUCUUCCUCCGCCACCUCCCACGCAAGCCUCAAUGGCCAGGUUCCGGAGAAACUCUCUCGCACGAACUAUGUGCUUUGGCGUACUCAUAUCACGCCCCAGCUGAGAGGGGCAGGUCUCUCCGGCUAUGCCGCUGGCACCAUGCCCGAACCAGCGCCCCUUCUUGUCACCAAGGACAAGGAUGGGAAGGAAACCUCCGAGCCCAACCCUCUCCACCCCAUCUGGGUCAGGGAGGACCAGCAGGUGCUUGGCUACCUCCUCAGCAACCUCUCCAAGGAGGUGCUGAUCACGGUGACCACGAUCACCACCGCGCACGGCCUCUGGUCAGCGCUGGCGGGCAUGUUCUCGUCCCAGUCCUUGAGCCGCGUCAACAACAUCCGC
rnacentral:rRNA from 1 species